CCUACGGGAGGCAGCAGUGGGGAAUUUUGGACAAUGGGCGACAGCCUGAUCCAGCCAUGCCGCGUGAGUGAAGAAGGCCUUCGGGUUGUAAAGCUCUUUUAGUCGGAAAGAAAGAGUUGCAAUGAAUAAUUGUGAUUUAUGACGGUACCGACAGAAAAAGCACCGGCUAACUACGUGCCAGCAGCCGCGGUAAUACGUAGGGUGCGAGCGUUAAUCGGAAUUACUGGGCGUAAAGGGUGCGCAGGCGGUCUUGCAAGUCAGAUGUGAAAGCCCCGGGCUUGACCUGGGAAUUGCGUUUGAAACUACAAGGCUAGAGUGCAGCAGAGGGGAGUGGAAUUCCAUGUGUAGCAGUGAAAUGCGUAGAGAUGUGGAAGAACACCGAUGGCGAAGGCAGCUCCCUGGGUCGACACUGACGCUCAUGCACGAAAGCGUGGGGAGCAAACAGGAUUAGAUACCCUGGUAGUCCACGCCCUAAACGAUGUCAACUAGUUGUCGGAUCUAAUUAAGGAUUUGGUAACGUAGCUAACGCGUGAAGUUGACCGCCUGGGGAGUACGGUCGCAAGAUUAAAACUCAAAGGAA
rnacentral:rRNA from 1 species